UUGAACGCUGGCGGCAUGCUUUACACCUGCAAGUCGAACGGCAGCGCGGGCUUCGGCCUGGCGGCGAGUGGCGAACGGGUGAGUAAUGCAUCGGAACGUGCCCAGUAGUGGGGGAUAGCCCGGCGAAAGCCGGAUUAAUACCGCAUACGACCUGAGGGUGAAAGCGGGGGACCGAAAGGCCUCGCGCUAUUGGAGCGGCCGAUGUCGGAUUAGCUAGUUGGUGGGGUAAAGGCUUACCAAGGCGACGAUCCGUAGCUGGUCUGAGAGGACGACCAGCCACACUGGGACUGAGACACGGCCCAGACUCCUACGGGAGGCAGCAGUGGGGAAUUUUGGACAAUGGGGGAAACCCUGAUCCAGCAAUGCCGCGUGCGGGAAGAAGGCCUUCGGGUUGUAAACCGCUUUUGUUCGGGAAGAAAUCCUCUGGGCUAAUACCCCGGGGGGAUGACGGUACCGGAAGAAUAAGCACCGGCUAACUACGUG
rnacentral:rRNA from 1 species